AUGGUACCCCCUCCGUCCGAAAAUACUUGUCAUCAAAAUGGACAAAAAGGGAUGUAUAUAGAACUAAAAUACGUCUAGAUACGUCCUCUUUUAUUCAUUUUGAUGACAAGUAUUUCCGGAUGGAGGGAGUACUUC
rnacentral:pre_miRNA from 1 species